UACGUAGGGGGCAAGCGUUGUCCGGAAUCAUUGGGCGUAAAGCGCGUGUAGGCGGCUUGGUAAGUCUGCUCUGAAAGCCCGGGGCUCAACCCCGGGAGGCGGGUGGAUACUGUCAAGCUCGAGUCCGGAAGAGGAGUGUGGAAUUCCUGGUGUAGCGGUGAAAUGCGUAGAUAUCAGGAGGAACACCUGUGGCGAAAGCGGCGCACUGGACCACAACUGACGCUGAGGUGCGAAAGCUAGGGGAGCAAACAGG
rnacentral:rRNA from 1 species